CKCGCGUCCUAUACAUGCAGUCGAGCGAAUGGAUUAAGAGCUUGCUCUUAUGAAGUUAGCGGCGGACGGGUGAGUAACACGUGGGUAACCUGCCCAUAAGACUGGGAUAACUCCGGGAAACCGGGGCUAAUACCGGAUAACAUUUUGAACYGCAUGGUUCRAAAUUGAAAGGCGGCUUCGGCUGUCACUUAUGGAUGGACCCGCGUCGCAUUAGCUAGUUGGUGAGGUAACGGCUCACCAAGGCAACGAUGCGUAGCCGACCUGAGAGGGUGAUCGGCCACACUGGGACUGAGACACGGCCCAGACUCCUACGGGAGGCAGCAGUAGGGAAUCUUCCGCAAUGGACGAAAGUCUGACGGAGCAACGCCGCGUGAGUGAUGAAGGCUUUCGGGUCGUAAAACUCUGUUGUUAGGGAAGAACAAGUGCUAGUUGAAUAAGCUGGCACCUUGACGGUACCUAACCAGAAAGCCACGGCUAACUACGUGCCAGCA
rnacentral:rRNA from 1 species